rnacentral:rRNA from 1 species
AGAUUGAACGCUGGCGGCAUGCUUUACACAUGCAAGUCGAACGGCAGCACGGGGGCAACCCUGGUGGCGAGUGGCGAACGGGUGAGUAAUGCAUCGGAACGUAUCCUUGAGUGGGGGAUAACGCAGCGAAAGUUGUGCUAAUACCGCAUAAGCUCUGAGGAGGAAAGCGGGGGAUCGAAAGACCUCGCGCCGGUGGAUGAGCCGAAGUCGGAUUAGCUAGUUGGUAGGGUAACGGCCUACCAAGGCGACGAUCCGUAGCUGGUCUGAGAGGACGACCAGCCACACUGGGACUGAGACACGGCCCAGACUCCUACGGGAGGCAGC